rnacentral:misc_RNA from 1 species
UACGGAGGGUGCGAGCGUUAUCCGGAAUCACUGGGCGUAAAGGGCGCGUAGGCGGUCUUGUAAGUCCGAUGUUAAAGAGCGGGGCUCAACCCCGUCACGGCGUUGGAUACUGCAGGGCUUGACGACUGGAGAGGUGAGUGGAAUUACCAGUGUAGCGGUGGAAUGCGUAGAUACUGGUAGGAACACCCAUUGCGAAGGCAGCUCACUGGACAGUCCGUGACGCUGAGGCGCGAAAGUGUGGGGAGCAAACCGG